CACCACGUGCAUCACACACCACAGAACUCAUACCACACGCCACACAUCACACACCACAUACACAAUACACCACACACACAUGACACACCACAGAUUCCACACAACUCAUACCACACGCCACACCCCACACACCAAGUGCAUCACACACCACAGAUACCACACAACACACACAUCACACACCACAGAUACCACACAACUCAUACCACACAUCACACACCACAUACACAAUACACCACACACACAUCACACACUACAGACACCACACAACUCAUACCACACGCCACACAUCACACACCACCUGCAUCACACACCACACACACAACACACACAUCACACACCACAGAUACCACACAACUCAUACCACACGCCACACAUCACACACCACCUGCAUCACACACCACGCACACAACACACAUCACACACCACAGAUACCACACAACUCA
rnacentral:lncRNA from 1 species